rnacentral:misc_RNA from 1 species
GAUGAAGAACGCAGCGAAAUGCGAUACUUGGUGUGAAUUGCAGAAUCCCGUGAACCAUCGAGUUUUUGAACGCAAGUUGCGCCCGAAGCCGUUAGGCCGAGGGCACGCCUGCCUGGGUGUCACACAUCGUUGCCCCCCCAUCUACUCCUUCGGGAUUGCGGGGGGCGGAUGAUGGCCUCCCGUGCGCCUCGUCGCGCGGUUGGCCUAAAUGCCAAGUCCUCGGCGACGCACGCCACGACAAUCGGUGGUUGCGAAACCUCGGUUGCCUGUCGUGUGCGGUCGUCGCGCAUCGAGGGCUCGAAAAAAUUGCCGGGCUUCGGCUCGACUUUCAACGCGACCCCAGGUCAGGCGGGGUUACCCGCUGAAUUUAAGCAUAUCAAUAAGCGGAGGA